AGAUUUGCACAGUGGCAAUAUCAUAGCCAAUGAGGUUUAUCUGAGCAGAAUUCCUGCUAAUUGGAAACUUUUCCCAAUACCCGACUGUGAUGAUUUGCAAUAUAGUCAGCAGUGGCAAUUUUUUUUUUUUUUUUUUUUUGAGA